AAUACAUGCAAGUCGAGCGGACAGAAGGGAGCUUGCUCCCGGAUGUUAGCGGCGGACGGGUGAGUAACACGUGGGUAACCUGCCUGUAAGACUGGGAUAACUCCGGGAAACCGGAGCUAAUACCGGAAGUUCCUUGAACCGCAUGGUUCAAGGAUGAAAGACGGUUUCGGCUGUCACUUACAGAUGGACCCGCGGCGCAUUAGCUAGUUGGUGGGGUAAUGGCUCACCAAGGCGACGAUGCGUAGCCGACCUGAAGGGUGAUCGGCCACACUGGGACUGAGACACGGCCCAGACUCCUACGGGAGGCAGCAGUAGGGAAUCUUCCGCAAUGGACGAAAGUCUGACGGAGCAACGCCGCGUGAGUGAUGAAGGUUUUCGGAUGUAAAGCUCUGUUGUUAGGGAAGAACAAGUGCGAGAGUAACUGCUCGCACCUUGACGGUACCUAACCAGAAAGCCACGGCUAACUACGUGCCAGCAGCCGCGGUAAUACGUAGGUGGCAAGCGUUGUCGGAAUUAUUGGGCGUAAAGGGCUCGCAGGCGGUUUCUUAAGUCUGAUGUGAAAGCCCCCGGCUCAACCGGGGAGGGUCAUUGGAAACUGGGAAACUUGAGUGCAGAAGAGGAGAGUGGAAUUCCACUGUAGCGGUGAAAUGCGUAGAGAUGUGGAGGAACACCAGUGGCGAAGGCGACUCUCUGGUCUGUAACUGACGCUGAGGAGCGAAAGCGUGGGGAGCGAACAGGAUUAGAUACCCUGGUAGUCCACGCGUAAACGAUGAGUGCUAAGUGUUAGGGGGUUUCCGCCCCUUAGUGCUGCAGCUAACGCAUUAAGCACUCCGCCUGGGGAGUACGGUCGCAAGACUGAAACUCAAAGGAAUUGACGGGGGCCCGCACAGCGGUGGAGCAUGUGGUUUAAUUCGAAGCAACGCGAAGAACCUUACCAGGUCUUGACAUCCUCUGACAACCCUAGAGAUAGGGCUUUCCCUUCGGGGACAGAGUGACAGGUGGUGCAUGGUUGUCGUAGCUCGUGUCGUGAGAUGUUGGGUUAAGUCCCGCAACGAGCGCAACCCUUGAUCUUAGUUGCCAGCAUUCAGUUGGGCACUCUAAGGUGACUGCCGGUGACAAACCGGAGGAAGGUGGGGAUGACGUCAAACAUCAUGCCCCUUAUGACCUGGGCUACACACGUGCUACAAUGGACAGAACAAAGGGCUGCAAGACCGCAAGGUUUAGCCAAUCCCAUAAAUCUGUUCUCAGUUCGGAUCGCAGUCUGCAACUCGACUCGUGAAGCUGGAAUCGCUAGUAAUCGCGGAUCAGCAUGCCGCGGUGAAUACGUUCCCGGGCCUUGCACAC
rnacentral:rRNA from 1 species